UAAAUAGAUACCCCGGUAGUCCACGCCCUAAACGAUGCGAACUGGAUGUUGGGUACAUUACGGUACUCAGUGUCGAAGCUAACGCGUUAAGUUCGCCGCCUGGGGAGUACGGUCGCAAGACUGAAACUCAAAGGAAUUGACGGGGGCCCGCACAAGCGGUGGAGUAUGUGGUUUAAUUCGAUGCAACGCGAAGAACCUUACCUGGCCUUGACAUCUGUCGAAUCCUGCAGAGAUGCGGGAGUGCCGCAAGGAACGACAAGACAGGUGCUGCAUGGCUGUCGUCAGCUCGUGUCGUGAGAUGUUGGGUUAAGUCCCGCAACGAGCGCAACCCUUGUCCCUAGUUGCCAGCACGUAAUGGUGGGAACUCUAGGGAGACUGCCGGUGACAAACCGGAGGAAGGUGGGGAUGACGUCAAGUCCUCAUGGCCCUUACGGCCAGGGCUACACACGUACUACAAUGGUCGGUACAGAGGGUUGCGAAGCCGCGAGGUGGGGCCAAUCCCAGAAAACCGAUCCCAGUCCGGAUCGGAGUCUGCAACUCGACUCC
rnacentral:rRNA from 1 species